UGGCAAGACGUUACUACGUAUGUCUCU
rnacentral:piRNA from 1 species